rnacentral:sRNA from 1 species
GAAGAAGGGUAUGUGUCUGGGCAAGCAAAUUUGACAGAUGUCCUUGGCAGAAUAUGAUGUUUUGAAUGAAAAUUCCACAUAAAGGAAACAAUGAAAAAGAAAUAUAAAAUGGAGGUAUCUUUAAAAUAGCUUCCUGGGCAGAUCUAGUAAAUGCUCACGUGGUGCCAGGCUCAGGAGUUGUGAAAGGCCUGCAAGAAGUGGGCCUGCCUUUGCAUCGGGGGUGCCUCCUUAUUGCGGAAAUGAGCUCCACCGGCUCCCUGGCCACUGGGGACUACACUAGAGCAGCGGUUAGAAUGGCUGAGGAGCACUCUGAAUUUGUUGUUGGUUUUAUUUCUGGCUCCCGAGUAAGCAUGAAACCAGAAUUUCUUCACUUGACUCCAGGAGUUCAGUUGGAAGCAGGAGGAGAUAAUCUUGGCCAACAGUACAAUAGCCCACAAGAAGUUAUUGGCAAACGAGGUUCCGAUAUCAUCAUUGUAGGUCGUGGCAUAAUCUCAGCAGCUGAUCAUCUGGAAGCAGCAGAGAUGUACAGAAAAGCUGCUUGGGAAGCGUAUUUGAGUA